CAGUAGCCGCGGGAAUACAGAGGGUGCAAGCGUUAAUCGGAAUUACUGGGCGUAAAGCGCGCGUAGGUGGUUUGUUAAGUUGGAUGUGAAAUCCCCGGGCUCAACCUGGGAACUGCAUCCAAAACUGGCAAGCUAGAGUAUGGUAGAGGGUGGUGGAAUUUCCUGUGUAGCGGUGAAAUGCGUAGAUAUAGGAAGGAACACCAGUGGCGAAGGCGACCACCUGGACUGAUACUGACACUGAGGUGCGAAAGCGUGGGGAGCAAACAGGAUUAGAUACCCCGGUAGUCCCUGUCUCUUAUAA
rnacentral:rRNA from 1 species